AAACUACUCCCUCCGUUUUAUAAUUCUUGUCGAAAUAUACAUGUAUCUAAACAUUUUUUAUGACUAGAUAUAUCCAUUUUUAGGUAAAUUUGAGACAAAAAUUAUGGAACGGAGGGAUUAUCUC
rnacentral:pre_miRNA from 1 species